AGAGGUUGAUUCGGGUCACUGUAGAACGUUACGGAUGCCUGGACUGCCUGGUGAACAACGCUGGACAAGCUUAUAAAGAAACGAUAGAUGACGUGAGUGCCCAGGACUUCCUCAACCUCAUGGAAAUCAACACUGUGAGCUGUUUGUUAGCAUCCAAGUAUGCACUGCCCUACUUGCGGGAAACGAAAGGAAACAUCAUCAACAUAGCAAGUAUUUCUGGUGUCUUCGGGGAGAGGAAUUUUGUGUCAUAUGCCUCAA